rnacentral:rRNA from 1 species
CCCCCGGGCUGCAGCCCAAUGUGGAAUUCGCCCUUCGAACCGCCGCGCGCGGCGGGCGGGGCGGGGGCACGGGGGGCCUACGGGAGGCAGCAGUGGGGAAUAUUGCACAAUGGGCGCAAGCCUGAUGCAGCGACGCCGCGUGAGGGAUGGAGGCCUUCGGGUUGUAAACCUCUUUUGUUUGGGAGCAAGC